CCAGCGCUGACUCAGCAGCCGUCCUCGUUGUCAGCGAACCCAGGAGACACCGUCAAGAUCACCUGCACUGGACUUGACAGCAGCUAUCCUUAUGCUGGCUGGUACCAGCAGAAGGAACCUGGAAGUGGCAUUGUUACUGUGACUUACUGGAAUGCCAGUUCCCUGGUCCAGGCAGCGCUGACUCAGCAGCCGUCCUCGUUGUCAGCAAACCCAGGAGACACCGUCACGAUCACCUGCACUGGGAGUAGUGGUGGCUAUGGCUGGUUCCAGCAGAAGACACCUGGCAAUGCCCCUGUCACUGUGAUCUACUGGGACGACAGUAGACCCUCGGGCAUCCCUUCACGAUUCUCCGGAUCUACGUCUGGCUCCACAGCCAUGUUAACCAUCACUGGGGUCCAAGCCGAGGACGAGGCCGUCUAUUACUGUGGUGGCUAUGAAAGCAGCGACACCAGUGCUCUUUGGGGUCGUGGUGACCCCCCAGCACUGUGGAAGGGAGACACAGACUCUCCAUUGUCGACUGCUCCCUCAG